rnacentral:ncRNA from 1 species
UUAAAAGCUUUGAAGAGAAAAAGUAAGUUUAGAAACUUUUAAGAGAGAUUGCGGUGCUGAAAGCAAUCAAGGGUCUAUUCCGAACACACAUCUCUGAGCUGACAGUUGAAUGCUUAUAAGUAAACUGAUCCGGGAGUACCCGUUAUAGUACUAGCGUUUAGUAGUUUUGAACGUGAUGAGGUAGUUUUCUGCGAAGAAGCUACGAAUAAAGGUGGAACCACGAUAUUGAUAUCAAUCGUCCUUUGA